GACUCAAGUUAAUAAAGCCCGGCGUAAAGAGUGUUUAAGAUUUCACGUCAAUAAAGCUGACCUAUAACCAAGUUGUAAAAAACCCCGGUUACAGUAAAAUAUCCUACGAAAGUGGCUUUAAUAACCUGAAUACACUAUAGCUAAGGUACAAACUGGGAUUAGAUACCCCACUAUGCCUAGCCCUAAACCUUAAUAAUUUUAACAACAAAAUUAUUCGCCAGAACACUACAAGCAACAGCUUGAAACUCAAAGGACCUGGCGGUGCUUUACAUCCGUCUAGAGGAGCCUGUUCUAUAAUCGAUAAACCCCGAUAUACCUUACCACCUCUCGCCCU
rnacentral:rRNA from 1 species